rnacentral:misc_RNA from 1 species
AUGAAUUAAAGUCGGUCUUCCGUGCUGGUGGCAACACAUGUGCACGUUGAUCGCAAAUCCACACACCUGUGCACCUUUGACUUUGGGAUCCGCUUGUGACUCGGCUUUGUGCCUGUCUGGGUCCCAAAGUAAUUUUUACACACUCUGAAUGUAAUGGAAUGUAUCUGUGCAUAAUGCGCAAAAAUA